rnacentral:lncRNA from 1 species
AAGUUGAAGAAAAUCGUUCCACAAAAAUCAGAAAUUACAUUGCAGGAGUAGAGAGACAUCUACUUCCAGUUAUUGGCAACAAUGUCAGCCAAAUCCACAACCCUUUGAGAGUAACCCCACUCAUUAUCAUACCAAGCAAUCACCUUAACCAUGUCAUCUCCCAUCACCAUUGUUAGUGAUGAAUCUACUGUUGACGACACAUCGCUGCACCUGAAGUCCACUGAAACAAGUGGUUCGUCACAAACUGAUAGGAUACCGUUGAGCUCCUUCUCAGCGCUCUCUCUGAAAGCUGCAUUCACCUCUUCUGCGAAGGUCUUCUUGGAGACCUGGACAACAAGGUCGACCACCGAGACAUUUGGGGUUGGAACUCGGAGGGCAAUGCCAUUGAGUUUGCCCUUGAGGGUAGGAAGGACGAGGGCCACUGCCUUUGCUGCGCCGGUUGAGGUUGGAACAAUAUUAAGAGCUGCAGCUCUUGCACGUCUGAGAUCACGGUGACUAGCAUCAAGUAGUCUCUGAUCACCGGUGUAUGAGUGAGUGGUGGUCAUGGUGCCCUUGAUGAUGCCUGCCACAAGUUCAAUAUCCAUGUUAAUAAUCUAUUUUAUCAUGUCAUGCUUCCUAAUUAAUUAGGGCAUUUUCGUUUAAUUAAUUGCUAGAAAUAUCCCAACAUUUUGUUUCUUUUAUGAUCAUCUUUCUUUUAAUCUCUGCUUCAAAUUUGUUUGAAGAUUUGUUGUGUCUGUGACUGUCCCUCUCUUCAGUCAUUAUAUAUUUCCCACUCGAGCAAGCUCCAUCUCAAAAUUGUCUUUGCUCAAAAGCUCAGGAUUUAAAGUUAGCAGCUCCUAAAAUACAUGGAAGGCUAGAGCCUUUCGAUUGACAGGAAAAAGUGGCAAGGAGGCAAAGAUUCGUGAGGAAAGGGGAAAGUUUCGAUAGAUUUAAUUACCAAACUUCUGGUCAAGAACCUUGACAAAGGGAGCAAGGCAGUUAGUGGUGCAAGAAGCAUUGCUGAUGAUAGGUUCAUCAGAGCUGUAGGCGUCAGCAUUGACUCCAACAACGUAGGUAGGUAUAUCACCCUUUCCAGGGGCUGUGAUGAGCACCUUCUUGGCCCCUGCUGUGAUGUGCUUCCCUGCGCCUUCCCUGUCGACGAAAACCCCGGUACCUUCUAUCACCAGAUCGAUCUCCAAGUCCCUAUAACAUCAAACAACAUAUUAAACGAAUUGGUCAAUCCAACAUUAGCACACCUGGUUCGUAUGAUCAAAUAACAAACAUAUGAACAUCAUGUGUAAUGAAGUCUUUAUCAGACUAGAAAACAAAAGUGAAAGAGACUCUUACUUCCAGGGGAGGUCAAGAGGGUUGCGGCUAGAAACGACCUUGAUUACCUUGCCAUCAACAGAGAUACCAUUAUCACCAACAGGCUUAACAUCAGCUGCGAAGAUGCCAAGGGUGGAGUCAUACUUGAGAAGGUGUGAGGCCUGUUUAACACC